UGAUACCUUCCAUUAAAACUAAUCAUGGCUCAUCCAGAAGUGGAUUCCCACCAGAAAUGGAAAUUCCAGGUUCACAGGAUGCUUACAGGUGCCACAGGAAAAAAACAACAACAACAACGACGAGAACUAGUAACAAGAGCCAUCAGAGUUCAAGAACAAAGGAAAAUGAGAAAUAUAAGGAAGAAACAGACAGAAAAUAAAGAGGAAUGGCUGAAAUUAUUUUGUCCCAUAACAGAGAAGACUUUGGAAGAAGGAAAAUGCACUGAAAUAAUAAUAAUAAAAAAGCAAUGA
ensembl:lncRNA